AUACGUAGGUGACAAGCGUUAUCCGGAAUUACUGGGCGUAAAGCGCACGCAGGCGGCGCGAUAAGUCUGACGUGAAAUCUCCCGGCUUAACUGGGAGGGGUCGUUGGAGACUGUUGUGCUUGAGGCGGUGAGAGGGGUGUAGAAUUCCCGGUGUAGUGGUGGAAUGCGUAGAUAUCCGGAGGAACACCAGUGGCGAAGGCGACACGCUGGGCCUGGCCUGACGCUCAGACGCGAAAGCAUGGGGAGC
rnacentral:rRNA from 1 species